rnacentral:rRNA from 1 species
AUUGAACGCUGGCGGCAUGCCUUACACAUGCAAGUCGAACGGCAGCGGGCCCUUCGGGGUGCCGGCGAGUGGCGAACGGGUGAGUAAUGCAUCGGAACGUACCCGGGAGAGGGGGAUAACCGGCCGAAAGGCUGGCUAAUACCGCAUGAACUUGGAAGAGCAAAGCGGGGGACCUUCGGGCCUCGCGCUCUCGGAGCGGCCGAUGUCCGAUUAGGCUAGUUGGUGGGGUAAAGGCCCACCAAGGCGACGAUCGGUAGCGGGUCUGAGAGGACGAUCCGCCACACUGGGACUGAGACACGGCCCAGACUCCUACGGGAGGCAGCAGUGGGGAAUCUUGGACAAUGGGCGCAAGCCUGAUCCAGCAAUGCCGCGUGGGUGAAGAAGGCCUUCGGGUUGUAAAGCCCUUUCGGCGGGGAAGAAAUCGGUCAGGCGAAUAGUCUGGCCGGAUGACGGUACCCGCAGAAGAAGCACCGGCUAACUACGUG